rnacentral:tRNA from 1 species
GCCAGUGUAGUAUAGUGGCUUGAGUGUUGGACUAUGACUCUGGAGACCAGGGUUCAAUUCCCUGCCUGGACA